GGAGUUGUGGCUCAGUAGUAGAGCGCUCACCUAGCAUGUGUGAGGUCCUGGGUUCGAUCCUCAGUACCA
rnacentral:tRNA from 1 species